UUUUGUUUUAGUUAGCUAGUGAUUAGAUGGCCAGUCUGAAGACAAAACGUAUUAUUGGUUUCCUUAACACAAACAGAUUUUAAAAGCUAAUAAUAAUUAAGAUUUAUUUUCAAGUUAUAUAGUAAUCCAAAAAGUGUUAUCAUACCUGGAUUUUAUAUAGAUAUUCAACACUUAAAAUCAUCGCUUAAACUUGGACAAAAUUAAAUAAAAAUAAAACUAUAAAUAUGAGAGGAAGAGCAACUUGCAUUUUAAUUAUUUUUAAUUUUGUAAAUGCAAAAUUAUUGUAAAUUACUAUAUGAAUUUAUGAAUUCUGCUCACGGAUCGUUUUCUUUAUGUAUCAUUAAUAUCAUAUCAUACUAAAAAUAUCUGGCGAAUCCAAAUUUUAUUCAAAACUGCAAAUAUUUAAAAGGCAAUUUAACCCAUAAAAUCAUCGUUUGAACUUGGACAAAAUAAAGUAAAUUUGAAAAUAUUGUGAAAUAUUUUUCGAUUAUGAUAUUAUGAAUAUAUCUUUCAAAAGUAUAUAUCAUAUAUAGAAAUGGAAUCUAAUGUGUAUUUAAACUUGACUUAGACUUAGAGGGGAAGAGCCACUUGAAUGUUUUAACUACUUGCAUUUUCUAUGAAAAACAAAAUGAUUACCUUUUUUUCAUUUUAUAAAUGCAAAAUUCUUGUAAAUUACUACAUGAAUAUAUGAAAAUUACUCAUGGA